rnacentral:tRNA from 1 species
GGGUCGUUAGCUCACGUUGGUAGAGCAGUUGACUUUUAAUCAAUUGGUCGCAGGUUCGAAUCCUGCACGACCCACCA